UAAAAAGAGCUGGUGAGAGUUUCUUACAUUUUAUCUUAAGUACUCAAGUUUCCAUGGGACAAAGUAAUGCUUCCAGAAGAGGAGGGGAGCGUGCAGCUGAUGCUUAAGGUUCGGGAGGUCCUGCCAACGCCUUGUGGAGAGCUCUGGCCAGUUCUGUCUCUUUGCUUUCCUGCUAGGAAGGCCAAGAGCAUCUGGCUCCACUGACACACGAUUAAGAGAGCUAUCAUUUACAUGAAAACCAGAAGCCAGGGAAGCAGAUGCAGCACGAAGGAGCAUACGUGUGACAAAUCUCGCGUCUGAAUUAAAGAGCAGUUCCUGGACUUGAAAUGCAAUGGCAGGCUGGAAAUAAAGGAAAUCUUCCAUUUGCCUUGGAUACUGAUCUUCAGAACUGGACCAGAUCAGCUGUAGUGCUCUCUCAAUGGUAGAAGCCUGAGGAUGGUUGAAAGGAAAGGAUGUACCACAGCAAUCUGUCAUCAGUGCAACUUCCAGCAAUCUUUGUAGUUAACAGACCGUAGUGGAUUUUUUUUCUCCUCAUGAAUUUACCUAAUCACUUUCUAAAUCCUGUUUCAUGCAAUACUGUGAGAAUAAUCAUCUAAUUUUGGUCUCUAAGACAAGAAAUACAAAAACAAUAGGAGGCCCAGGAAAGAAUGAAAUUUUGCCAACCGAUAUUACAAAAACAGGCAACAAUUACAGCAUAUUGACGAAGAAAUUUACUAAAACCACUCAUAAAAUAACCCAGCAUUUCCUGCUGUGAAAAUGAAUUUGUUAUUUAGACCACAUCACUGUUUUUGAAAAAUCACCACCUGUAAUUGCUUUUCUAAGCUUGUGACAAGGGCAUUUCUCUUUUGGUGUCAUGAUGUCAAAUUAAAAGUGUGCCUUUUCAACUGGUAACACUGUCUAGGGUUAAAUAACAAAUCUUCCCAAACUCUUUACUCAAAGAUUUUUGCAUCAGUUAUAAAUGAGAAGAAAAAAAGACAAAUGUUUCUAGGAUGUCACCAGUCUUUGCCUAGCAGUGAGAAAUUCACUGUGAAGUUAUGCUUCUUGUUCUCUACUACAAAACCAACUUUUACGUAUUUUGCAAUCCUCGUCCACUAUUUCUGCUGUAAUCUCUUGCAAAAUGUUGAAAAUUUAAAGCUCUACACUCACAUGUUUAUUGCCCUACAAUCUGAUUUACCAAAUAAAAGAAUAUG